CUUUUGGAAUAAUCCAUCAAUUUUUUUUAAUUAAACACUAUCUAAAGAUUUGCAACGAAGCUUUUUUUUAUAGUGAUUUUAAUCACUGUCAGAUAUCAUUAUACUUGAUCCAACUAUCCACGUCACCACUGUGCCGCGACUCCCCUUUGCUGGUUUUUUUCUUUUGUAUGUUAUUAUGGUAUCAGAUAAGCGUGUUUCUCCGGUGCGCACCGGUUACUUGUAUUGUAUUUAUAGUAGUGGAACGAUGAACUCGUCAUCGUAAAGAACGACACGACGCUCACGCCAAUAUGUGUAUACAUAAUAAAGUAUUAUAAACUAAGUUAUAAGUUUUAUGUCGCUCAUAUUAGUUAAACAGUUAAUAGUAAACGUAUUAUAUAGUCCACUCUGAAACCGAAACAAAAUAUGAACUACUUUUGUGUAUUGUAAAUGACAGAAAAGACGCAGAAGUAUUUAAACAUAUUCUUGAAAAUAAUACGUAUAAUAUAUUAGCACAUUAUUUUUUAAGAGAAGAUUUAGUAACUCUAAAGAGGAAUGAUACAAGUAAUUACAAUUUAAAUCAAAUAUUGCGUAUCACAUAAAUUUCAAUUUAUAAAUGUUCAACAAUUAUGUCCACCGCAAACCUA